GAUUUAUUAAGAAGAGGUGAGAGAACAGGCUCUAAGACCCUCUGGCAACCAUCAUCAACAUCUGAGAAAGGUGCCAAUUCCUGCCCCGAGUCAUUUUAAUGGGAAAAAUAAAUU
rnacentral:ncRNA from 2 species